rnacentral:rRNA from 1 species
UACGAAGGGGGCUAGCGUUGCUCGGAAUCACUGGGCGUAAAGGGUGCGUAGGCGGGUCUUUUAAGUCAGGGGUGAAAUCCUGGAGCUCAACUCCAGAACUGCCUUUGAUACUGAAGAUCUUGAGUUCGGGAGAGGUGAGUGGAACUGCGAGUGUAGAGGUGAAAUUCGUAGAUAUUCGCAAGAACACCAGUGGCGAAGGCGGCUCACUGGCCCGAUACUGACGCUGAAUGCACGAAAAGCGUGGGGGGAGCAAAACA